UAGCGGUGCUUCUUACUCCUGUGUGGUGGGACAUGAAGCGAUUCCAUUGAAGAUCAUCAACAGAACAGUCGAUAAAUCCAGCGAUUCAAUAGAUCGCACUUGGAUUGAAGACUAUGAGGAUGAUAACAGCAACAUCUGGACAACUGCUUCCACGUUCAUCACCUUGUUCUUCCUGAGUAUUUUCUACAGCGCUGCCGUCACUCUGGUGAAGGUUAAGUGAAUGAAUUGUGGAUCCCUUUGAUUUUCCUGAUCUGCUUAUCAAGGUCUCUGAAUUCCCA